rnacentral:rRNA from 1 species
UACGUAGGUGGCAAGCGUUGUCCGGAAUUAUUGGGCGUAAAGAGCAUGUAGGCGGAAAUUUAAGUCUGUUGUGAAAAUGCGGGGCUCAACCCCGUAUUGCGAUGGAAACUGGGUUUCUUGAGUGCAGGAGAGGAAAGGGGAAUUCCCAGUGUAGCGGUGAAAUGCGUAGAUAUUGGGAGGAACACCAGUGGCGAAGGCGCCUUUCUGGACUGUGUCUGACGCUGAGAUGCGAAAGCUAGGGGAGCGAACGGG